rnacentral:SRP_RNA from 1 species
GCCAGGCGUGGUGGCGGGCGCCUUUAAUCCCAGCUACUUGGGGGCUGAGGCAGGAGAAUCGCUUGAACUUGGGGGGUUGAGGCUGCAGUGAGCCGAGAUGGCACCACUGCAGUCCAGCCUGGGUGACAGAGUGACACCCUGUCUCAA